rnacentral:rRNA from 1 species
GGGAAUAUUGGACAAUGGGCGAAAGCCUGAUCCAGCCAUGCCGCGUGUGUGAAGAAGGUCUUCGGAUUGUAAAGCACUUUAAGUUGGGAGGAAGGGCAGUAAGCUAAUACCUUGCUGUUUUGACGUUACCGACAGAAUAAGCACCGGCUAACUCCGUGCUAG